UAAGAAUCUACAACAAUCUUGUGAGAAAU
rnacentral:piRNA from 1 species